GGUUACAAUUAGCGGUUCCUAAGUUAAGCAUGAUAAAACAGUCGUCAAGUAGGAACAACAGAUCCAAAGGCAUCAAGGUCAAGCAUGUUCUGCAGAUUAUUCUAUUGCUUGGUGUUUGCUUCUGGUUGAUCUAUCAGGUUAAGCACUCGCAUGACAAGAAGAAGGAAUUUCAUGAGAAUGAUGCAAAAGUGUCGGCCUGAACUCAGACUUCAUAUCAGACUCUGUAACUUGGUAGAAAAAGAUAUUCAUCCAGGUAUGGAUGAAGUGAAUCAAAAUGAAAGGCAUGAGGAAGAUGAGAAUAUUUUAGAGGAUGAAGAUAAGCAUGAACACAAUGAACAUGAAGAAGGAAAUGAGCAUGAAUCAGAAGAAAAAGGUUACAAACGUGGAGUGAGAGGAGGAGGAGAUGAACAAGAGGAAGUUGAAAACAAAAACAAUGAGGUGGAAGAUGAAAGGAGUGGAGGAGAUGAUGAGAUAGAUGAAAAUGACCAAGAGCAAUCAGCAGUGGAUACUGAUCGUGAUGAGGAGUUCAUGGAUGAAGAGAAAGCGAAAGAAGAGGAGAGUGAUGAGAAAGAGAAAGAAAACAAUCAUGAAUCUCGGGAGGAAAAUUACAAGGAGGAUGAUGCUUCUAGGCUCUAGCGCAGUCACUCGUGAUACUGGUACAACUAGCACCGAAAGUGAGACCCUUUUAGAAAACUCUGAUGUAAACUCAGCAAUGAAUAUGACGAAAUCAGAGAACAGAUCUACUUAUACCAAGGAAAGUAACAGGGGCCAACAUAGUUCAAAUUUAAUAUUACAGAAGCUGAAUUGCCUGGUGGGACUUCUUCCAAUGCAGCAUCUGGUAAAGAAACUGGAAGCGACAGCUUGUCCCACACAGUGGAUAGCUCACAUUUAGACAAUAUUACAACAACAUAUCUGAGCAGUUAUUCUGGAGCAGGCAGUAAUCUGAUAACAGUGAUCUCUGGUGGUAACUUACAGGAACUAGCGCAAAUACUUCGUCUGAAUCAAACCAAGCUCAAAAUGGUACUGUGGAUACAUUAGUCACUGAAGAUGUAAAAAAUCUACACAAUAUUACCACGACAUAUUUGGACAGUCAUUCUGAAGCUGGCAGUAAUCUGACAGCAGUGAUCUCUGGUGGUAACUUGGCAGGAACUAGUGCUAAUACUUCAUCUGAAUCAAACCAAGCUCAACAUGGUACUAUGAAUGCAACAGUCACUGAAGAUGCCAAAAAUGUGCAGACAGAAGGAUUAGAGCAGAGUGGCAAUAGAGUCUCUGAAGAAAACCUGCCUGGUUCUAACUCAACAGUCCCUGUUGAAACAGAAAAGGAAGAUGCAGCUGCAGGUAAAUCUUCUAAUCUAGAGGGUGGUGAGUUAGAAAACACAGCAAAAUUCGUGGCAUCAAAUGAAACUGAGAACAACAGUGACACUGAAAUGAGUGAAACAAACAAGAAUCGGAAUAUUUCAUAUGUGAAGGAGAACACUGAUGUUACUAAGAAUGAGUUCAAGGGUGACACACAAACAGAUGAAACAUCAGACUCACCAUGACACUGAUUGUUCUGAUUCUCACAUCCUUAAGAAUGUGGCAGAGUUCUGAACUGAUCUGGAUACGCAUAUAUUAGAAAUGAAGGGGAUAAUGGUGACGCAACUGCAACAGACUAAAAACAUCGUCUUUUUGUUAUGGGGAACAGCUAGUGGAGUAUUAGAGUUUAUCUUCUGAGCCAUGUUACUUGAACACUUUUGCUUGUUAAAAAGAAAAAUGUUCAAGGCAAGACCCCCAAAGGUACAAAGUUAGGCUUGUUGAUUUUCAUAUCAAGGUCUGAAUAUGUAUAAUUUCUUUUUUCCUCUA